rnacentral:rRNA from 1 species
AUUGAACGCUGGCGGCAGUCCUAACGCCUUCCAGUCGAGCGCUUGAAGGUGGCUUGCUCCUUGUUUCCUCGGCGGACGGGUGAGUAAUUCCUACUAAUCUGCCUGGUAGUGGGGGAUAACGUUCGGAAACGGGCGCUAAUACUGCAUACGUCCUGAGGGCGAGAGUGGGUUAUCUUCGGACCUCGGCCUAUUAGCUGCUCCUCUGUCGGCUUAGCUAGUUUGUGGGGUAAAGGCCUACCAAGGCGACGAUCCGUAACUGGUCUGAGAGGAGGAUCUGUAACACUGGAACUGAGACACGGUCCAGACUCCUACGGGAGGCAGCAGUGGGGAAUAUUGGACAAUGGGCGAAAGCGUGAUCAAGCAAUGCCGCGUGUGUGAAGAAGGUCUUCGGAAGGUAAAGCACGUUGAAGGGGGAGGAAGGGCAGUAAGGUAAGACGUUGCUGAUUUGACGUUACCAACAGAAUAAGCGCCGGCUAACUUCGUG